rnacentral:rRNA from 1 species
UGGGGAAUAUUGGACAAUGGGCGAAAGCCUUAUCCAGCCAUGCCGCGUGUGUGAAGAAGGUCUUCGGAUUGUAAAGCACUUUAAGUUGGGAGGAAGGGCAUUAACCUAAUACGUUAGUGUUUUGACGUUACCGACAGAAUAAGCACCGGCUAACUCUGUGCCAGCAGCCGCGGUAAUACAGAGGGUGCAAGCGUUAAUCGGAAUUACUGGGCGUAAAGCGCGCGUAGGUGGUUUGUUAAGUUGGAUGUGAAAGCCCCGGGCUCAACCUGGGAACUGCAUCCAAAACUGGCAAGCUAGAGUACGGUAGAGGGUGGUGGAAUUUCCUGUGUAGCGGUGAAAUGCGUAGAUAUAGGAAGGAACACCAGUGGCGAAGGCGACCACCUGGACUGAUACUGACACUGAGGUGCGAAAGCGUGGGGAGCAAACA